rnacentral:rRNA from 1 species
UUGUUGCAGUUAAAAAGCUCGUAGUUGGAUUUCGGAACCGGCCGAUUGGUCCGUCCUCUGGAUCGUGUACUGAUCGGUCUGUUCUUCUUCGCGAAGACCGCGUGUGCUCUUAACUGAGUGGGCGUGGGAUUCGCGACGUUUACUUUGAAAAAAUUAGAGUGUUCUAAGCAGGCAGUCGCUUGAAUAUCUCAGCAUGGAAUAAUAGAAUAGGACUUUGGUCUUAUUUUGUUGGUUUCCGAGACCGAAGUAAUGAUUAAUAGGGACAGUUGGGGGCAUUCGUAUUUCAUUGUCAGAGGUGAAAUUCUUGGAUUUAUGAAAGACGAACUUCUGCGAAAGCAUUUGCCAAGGAUGUUUUCAUUAAUCAAGAACGAAAGUUGGAGGCUCGAAGACGAUCAGAUACCGUCCUAGUUCCAACCAUAAACGACGCCGUCUGCGGAUCGGAGGUCGCUCAUGUAAGGCUCCUUCGGCACGCUAUGAGA